UACGUAGGGGGCAAGCGUUGUCCGGAAUCAUUGGGCGUAAAGCGCGCGUAGGUGGUCAUGUAAGUCCGCUGUGAAAGUCAAAGGCUCAACCUUUGAAAGCCGGUGGAUACUGCAUGACUAGAGUACGGAAGAGGCGAGUGGAAUUCCUGGUGUAGCGGUGGAAUGCGCAGAUAUCAGGAGGAACACCAAUAGCGAAGGCAGCUCGCUGGGACGUUACUGACACUGAGGCGCGAAAGCGUGGGGAGCAAACGGG
rnacentral:rRNA from 1 species